CGUUCCCGGGCCUUGUACACACCGCCCGUCACACCACGAGAGUUUGUAACACCCGAAGUCGGUGGGUAACCGUAAGGAGCCAGUCGCCUAAGGUGGGACAGAUGAUUGGGGUG
rnacentral:rRNA from 1 species